AUGCCUAACCGACCUAACGGGGUGAUCGGCCCCGAUGGGACUGAAACACUGCCCAGACUCCUACCGGAGGGAACAAUUGGGAAUCUUCCACAAUGGAGAAAAAUCUGAUGGACCAACGCCACGUGGGUGAACAAGGUUCUCGGAUCUUUAAACUCGGUUGAGAGGGAAAAACAAGUUCCCGAGUAACUGCCGGUACCUUGACGGGACCUCAUUAGAAACGCACGGCUAACUAGCUGCCAACAUCCCCGGAAAUACUGAAGUGGCAAAGCGUUGUACGGAAUUAGUGGCGCCUAAAUCGCGCGCACGCGGUCCCAUAAGUCUGAUGUGAAUGCCCACGGCCCAACCGUGGAGGGUCAUUGGAAACUGGGGGUCCUGAAUGCACAAUG
rnacentral:rRNA from 1 species